AACUAACGCCGGCGGUAUGCUUAACACAUGCAAGUCGAACGAACAAAAUUGGGGCUUGCUCCAAUUUUAGUGAGUGGCAAACGGGUGAGUAACACGUGGGAAUCUACCUAUCAGUACGGAAUAACAUUUGGAAACAGAUGCUAAUACCGUAUAUUCUCCAAGGAGGAAAGAUUUAUCGCUGAUAGAUGAGCCCGCGUAAGAUUAGGUAGUUGGUAGGGUAAUGGCCUACCAAGCCGACGAUCUUUAGCUGGUCUGAGAGGAUGAUCAGCCACACUGGGACUGAGACACGGCCCAGACUCCUACGGGAGGCAGCAGUGGGGAAUAUUGGACAAUGGGCGAAAGCCUGAUCCAGCAAUACCGCGUGAAUGAUGAAGGCCUUAGGGUUGUAAAGUUCUUUUAGUUGGAAAGAUAAUGACGGUACCAACAGAAAAAGCCCCGGCUAACUCCGUGCCAGCAGCCGCGGUAA
rnacentral:rRNA from 1 species